rnacentral:lncRNA from 1 species
GCUCUGACUCUCGAGAGAAAGUCUUGCCUUUGGCGGGAGGACUCCUUCUUUUUGCAACUAAAACCUAUCCACUUCCUUGAGAAAUUCAAUACCUACUUCGGUACGAUACAUACGGCCUCGGCAAAGCAGAGAAGGGAUAGCGAUGCGAUUCCUACUAGUACUAACGAUUCAAACCUAGCCCCUUAGACUGUUCCCAUCUCCUUCCGAGAAAUCCGAUUUAGCGCUGGAGGGCCGUACCUCUAUUUACGAUAAUUGCUUUAGGAGCAGGUGCCUUUUAGGAUUAGGAUUCGGAAGUACCGUUGUUUCCGUAGAGGAUUUCGCAGCUUGUUUCGAGUCCUUCUUUUACUUUAUCCUUCCUUUCUUUUUAGUCAAGAUGUGCUGUAAGGAUUAAGAGUGUACCUUAUGUGUUUUCAAUUCUGCUUC